CUUGUUCCCCGUCGGUUCUCCCUGUUUAGUUUAGUUCCUGUUAUGUCCCUGCAUUCUACCUGUUGUUUUCCUGUGUCUCCUGGUUCCAGUUCUGUAAGUCAUUCUACUCAACAUCAUCAAAAGCCAUUGGAAGAACCAUACGACAAAUAACGGCAGAGGAUGGGACUGAAAGAUGCAACGGUGUGGCCCCUCUUAACAUCUAGUUAUGGACACAGAUGAUGAGGACUGUGAUGUUGAGUCCAUGUGCCACGUCACAGGUUUUCCCAGAACAUUCAUUGAAACAGCUUCUUCAGAUACUCUGGCUCAGCUGCUGAGAUUCUGGGAUGGCUGGGAGGUGCUUCCUUCCGAACUCAAGGUGGAGAUUUCUGGGGGGAUUUUUCUUACCUCAGCAACG